CCUCGCGAUGGAAGAGCUCUGAAUCCUGGCGGGUGCCAGGGACUCCUAAUUGUGCGCGGGAUAUGGUGAGCUGGAUGGGCGCAUGCACGCCACCCUGUUCCCACCCCUGCCUUGGUCCCCUGGACCUGCUGGCGGGUGGUGUCCUCGUGCUCCUGGCCCUGCCUCGGCUCGCAUCCUCUUCUGGCCGCAUCAUGGAGGUGUCCACGUAGGCGGGACCGGGUGGUUUCACUGGUCAAGUCUAUCCAACGUUUAAAGAAAAAUUAACAGCAGUCCUUCUCAAACUCUUCCAAAAUAUUGAAGAAAAGAGACUGCUUUCAGAUUCAUUUCUUGAGGCCUGCAAUAUCCUGAUACCAAAACCAGAUAAGAACAUUACCAGAAACAAAAAGCUAUAGGCCAGUGCCCCUGAUGGACACAGAUGCAAAAAUUCUCAAGAAACUAUUAGUAAGCUGAAUUCAACAAUAGGUUAAAAGGCAUACACCAUGAUCAAGUGGGAUUCAUGUCUUGGAUGCAAGGAUGGUUUAACAACCUCUACAUUAAUAAAAUAAAAGAUAAAAAUCA